AAUGAACGCUGGCGGCGCGCCUAAUACAUGCAAGUCGAGCGAGAAGACGUAGCAAUACGUUUGUAAAGCGGCGAACGGGUGAGGAAUACAUGGGUAACCUACCCUCGAGUGGGGAAUAACUAGCCGAAAGGUUAGCUAAUACCGCGUACGCUUCUUGGACUUCGGUUCAGGGAGGAAAGCGAUACCGUGGGUAUCGCGCUCUUGGAUGGGCUCAUGUCCUAUCAGCUUGUUGGUGAGGUAACGGCUCACCAAGUCUUCGACGGGUAGCUGGUCUGAGAGGACGAUCAGCCACACUGGCACUGCGACACGGGCCAGACUCCUACGGGAGGCAGCAGUAAGGAAUAUUGCGCAAUGGGCG
rnacentral:rRNA from 1 species